rnacentral:rRNA from 1 species
AUUGAACGCUGGCGGCAGGCCUAACACAUGCAAGUCGAACGAGUGGCGGACGGGUGAGUCAUGUCUGGGAAACUGCCUGAUGGAGGGGGAUAACUACUGGAAACGGUAGCUAAUACCGCAUACCAUCAGAUGUGCCCCGAUGGGAUUAGCUUGUUGGUGGGGUAACGGCUCACCAAGUCGACGAUCCCUAGCUGGUCUGCGAGGAUGACCAGCCACACUGGAACUGAGACACGGUCCAGACGCCUACGGGAGGGAGAAGUGGGGAAUAUGGGACAAUGGGCGCAAGCCUGAUGCAGCCAUGCCGCGUGUAUGAAGAAGGCCUUCGGGUUGUAAAGUACUUUCAGCGGGGAGGCGGUACCCGCAGAAGAAGCACCGGCUAACUCCGUGCCAGCAGCCGCGGUAAUAC